AUUGAACGCUGGCGGCAGGCUUAACACAUGCAAGUCGAACGAGUGGCGGACGGGUGAGUAAUGCUUGGGAAUCUAGCUUAUGGCGGGGGAUAACUACGGGAAACUGUAGCUAAUACCGCGUACCAUAGGCUGAGCCCAAGUGGGAUUAGGUAGUUGGUGAGGUAAAGGGUCACCAAGCAGACGAUCGCUAGCUGGUCUGCGAGGAUGACCAGCCACACUGGGACUGGGACACGGCCCAGACUCCUACGGGAGGCAGCAGUGGGGAAUGUUGCGCAAUGGGGGAAACCUGACGCAGCCAUGCCGCGUGAAUGAAGAAGGCCUUCGGGUUGUGAAGUUCUGUCGGUAGCGAGGCGUUAACUACAGAAGAAGCACCGGCUAACUCCGUGCCAGCAGCCGCGGUAAUUC
rnacentral:rRNA from 1 species